rnacentral:lncRNA from 1 species
CGCCGCCGAGAAGGCUGUGUAAGGCAGGUACACCUGCUCACAAACGAGGGAAGAAGCUGCGAAUCUCGCGGAGCGGCGCCGCGAAUUCGUGACGAGCGGCAGACAAGAGCCUCCCCCCAUGCCCAGAGUCUCCCGGGGGUGGGUCCGCAGGAGGUGAACUGUCUCCAGAUCAAGCCGUGCCCACAUUCGUGUGAAGAUUUCGGAAGUUCGAAAGCGACAGAGAGAACCGUGCGCCAUCGAAGAGCGUGACCGAGACUUCUGCGUUUAACCAGCCCGGGAACCGCCGUAAAAGGCGGGGGCUAGAACCACCAGUCGCCUCGGGGGAAGCACGGAAUCUCAUCAACGGUACGCUGGUGUCCGUCAGGCCUCUCCAGUCCAUAUUCGCAGUUAGCAG